rnacentral:tRNA from 2 species
GGAGUUGUAGCUCAGUGGUAGAGCACUUGCCUAGCAAGAAUGAGGCACUGGGUUCGAUCCUCAGCACCA